rnacentral:rRNA from 1 species
GAUGAACGCUGGCGGCGUGCUUAACACAUGCAAGUCGAACGGAAAGGCCCAAGCUUGCUUGGGUACUCGAGUGGCGAACGGGUGAGUAACACGUGGGUGAUCUGCCCUGCACUUCGGGAUAAGCCUGGGAAACUGGGUCUAAUACCGGAUAGGACCACCUCUUGGAUGUUGUGGUGGAAAGUUUUUUCGGUGUGGGAUGAGCUCGCGGCCUAUCAGCUUGUUGGUGGGGGAAUGGCCUACCAAGGCGUCGACGGGUAGCCGGCCUGAGAGGGUGUACGGCCACAUUGGGGCUGAGAUACGGCCCAGACUCCUACGGGAGGCAGCAGUGGGGAAUUUUGCCCCAUGGGGGCGAGCCUGAUGCAGCGACGCCGCGUGGGGGAUGACGGCCUUCGGGUUGUAAACUCCUUUCGCUAGGGACGAAGCGUUUUGUGACGGUACCUGGAGAAGAAGCACCGGCUAACUACGUG